rnacentral:lncRNA from 1 species
CUCAAACUCUCCUUGGGCAGGUCUUGCUGUGGCUGCUGUGGGGGAUGGUGGUGAGACUCCCAGGUGACUGGAGUUGUGUAUCUAGGAGGAUUAUGGCUGCUUCUGCUGAGUCAUGCAGGUUGUUCCGGAAGUGGAGGAAAGCCGGUAGUCACAGGCCUCACCCAGCUCCCACACGCAAACCGAAGGGCCCGUCUCCCUCCCACCAUGCUCCCUGCAACUGCCCCCAGACUGUUUCCAGGUGGAGAGCAAUACAGGAUCGAAAAUCUGCACCAGGCUAUUCGCCUCCCAGCUGUGAAAAAAAAGGGCUUGGUUCUUCCCCAACCAGUGGAGUCCGCACACUGGAUUUGCGCCCUCCCGCAAGUUCUGGCCGGGAGGCUUCUCACCCGGUUCAAAUUGUUACAAAGUUCAGCUAGAGAUUUGCUUCUUCCUGUGCAGUUUUACCCCCGCUCCUCUCCUGUUGGAUCUCUGUGGUACCAGGCAGGAAUGGGUGCUAGGGGACCCAGUGAGGUUCCGGGGCCUUUCUGCUGCUUCCUCUACCCGUGUUUCACUCGGCUCUCCAUACUGAUUCAGCUCCAGCUUGUCAAUUUCUUCAUAAGCAGUCUGCUGGGAUUUGUUUGAGAACGUAUUAAAGAGAUCAACUUGGGUCAAAUGGACAAAAGAGUGUUGAGUCCUUCGAUUUAUGAACAUGAGAUCUACUCACAGGCUUUGGACUAACUCUAAGUACCUUUGAAGCUCUAUAAAAGUAAGUAAUAUCUGCUGUAAAA